CCUACGGGUGGCAGCAGUGAGGAAUAUUGGUCAAUGGACGAGAGUCUGAACCAGCCAAGUAGCGUGAAGGAUGAAUGCCCUAUGGGUUGUAAACUUCUUUUAUAUGGGAAUAAAAUGUUCCACGUGUGGGAUUUUGUAUGUACCAUAUGAAUAAGGAUCGGCCAACUACGUGCCAGCAGCCGCGGUAAUAUGGAGGAUCCGAGCGUUAUCCGGAUUUAUUGGGUUUAAAGGGAGCGUAGGUGGAUUGUUAAGUCAGUUGUGAAAGUUUGCGGCUCAACCGUAAAAUUGCAGUUGAUACUGGCAGUCUUGAGUACAGUAGAGGUGAGCGGAAGUCGUGGUGUAGCGGUGAAAUGCUUAGAUAUCACGAAGAACACCGAUUGCGAAGGCAGCUCACUGGAAUACAACUGACGCUGAGGCGCGAAAGUGUGGGUAUCAAACAGGAUUAGAUACCCGAGUAGUC
rnacentral:rRNA from 1 species